GAGAGGAGCUUGCUCUUCUUGGAUGAGUUGCGAACGGGUGAGUAACGCGUAGGUAACCUGCCUUGUAGCGGGGGAUAACUAUUGGAAACGAUAGCUAAUACCGCAUAACAAUGGAUGACACAUGUCAUUUAUUUGAAAGGGGCAAUUGCUCCACUACAAGAUGGACCUGCGUUGUAUUAGCUAGUAGGUGAGGUAACGGCUCACCUAGGCGACGAUACAUAGCCGACCUGAGAGGGUGAUCGGCCACACUGGGACUGAGACACGGCCCAGACUCCUACGGGAGGCAGCAGUAGGGAAUCUUCGGCAAUGGGGGCAACCCUGACCGAGCAACGCCGCGUGAGUGAAGAAGGUUUUCGGAUCGUAAAGCUCUGUUGUAAGUCAAGAACGAGUGUGAGAGUGGAAAAUUCACACUGUGACGGUAGCUUACCAGAAAGGGACGGCUAACUACGUGCCAGCAGCCGCGGUAAUACGUAGGUCCCGAGCGUUGUCCGGAUUUAUUGGGCGUAAAGCGAGCGCAGGCGGUUUGAUAAGUCUGAAGUUAAAGGCUGUGGCUCAACCAUAGUUCGCUUUGGAAACUGUCAAACUUGAGUGCAGAAGGGGAGAGUGGAAUUCCAUGUGUAGCGGUGAAAUGCGUAGAUAUAUGGAGGAACACCGGUGGCGAAAGCGGCUCUCUGGUCUGUAACUGACGCUG
rnacentral:rRNA from 1 species